rnacentral:ncRNA from 1 species
GUAAAGGCGUUGAAGAGGAGUAGUAGACACCUCUGCCGUUUCAGAGAGCCGGCGGUCGCUGCAAGCCGGUACGGUAAGCUGUCGAACUCGCCUUGGAGCCGUGGAAGUCAACCGGUCUUUGCCGCCAGCUUCCACCGUCAUCCCGCGUCAAGGGACAAUCAAGGUUCGUCGCCUGCUUCGGCAGUCGGCGGAUGAAACAGGGUGGUACCGCGAAGCGAAAGCUCUCGCCCCUGAU